CUUGAACACAAGCACUGUGAUGCUCAAUAGUUGAUCUGAUAACCAAGACGGUUAGUUACUAAGUGACUAAUGAGCAGGUAAUAUAGAUGGCGUGGAUGUGCUGUACAAAGAGAUGAUUCACGUCCCAGGCAGGACAGAGUGGGAUGGCGUGAGAUUUCGUCACAUUACUCAGAACAGCAUGCAAUUUAAAACAUGAAUUGCUUUCCAUUUAAAAAUAAAGGAAUUUGAUUAUGCGUUCUCUAAAGCUUCCAAAAGGAUCCAGUCCCAGAUACGUAUUACAUUUAGUCAUCAUGGCUCCUUCGUCUCCUCUGACGAGGAAACUGACAUCCAGUAAAAGAUCAACAUUAAACAUAAGCCUGGUAGCAGAACCAUAACAGAACCCUGCACUCAUGAUGCCUUCUGAGGACUCUGCCCAUCUUCCUUGAUUAACUCCAGAAUACAGAAGCAACCCUAAAAAUGCAAGCAAACAUCCUGAAGAAGUCAGGAAUGGAUUUUUCUAAGGUUAUGUAUGACUUCAUGAAUGUCAGUCAGGAUAGACCACAACUUCAAGCUACAUGGGAAGAUUAUGACUCUUUUUUUUUUUUUUUU
rnacentral:lncRNA from 10 species